GCCUGGGUGGUUCAGCGGUUGAGCAUCUGCCUUCGGGUCAGGGUCUGACCCCAGAGUCCUGGGAUUGAGUCCCACCCCAGGCU
rnacentral:tRNA from 1 species